UACGGAGGGUGCAAGCGUUGUCCGGAUUUAUUGGGUUUAAAGGGUGCGUAGGCGGCCCUGUAAGUCAGUGGUGAAAUUCUUGAGCUUAACUGAAGGAUUGCCAUUGAUACUGUAGGGCUUGAGUACAGAUGAGGUAGGCGGAAUUGAUGGUGUAGCGGUGAAAUGCAUAGAUACCAUCAAGAACACCGAUUGCGAAGGCAGCUUACUAAGCUGUAACUGACGCUGAUGCACGAAAGCGUGGGGAUCGAACAGG
rnacentral:rRNA from 1 species